GACCUCAUGCAGGCGGAAAGAAACAAGACAUCUUAUGGGUUUGAGAGUUCAUCCCCCCCUUUAAAAAGCCCUUUAUCCUGCUUUGCUAGCAAAACAGGAGGAGGGACAGAUCGAAGAGGAGCUAGCUAGCUAGAGACCUGCUGACACAAAAUAGCUGGUAAAGAAAAGAGCGGUGCAAACUUAUAUUGAAGCUAGCAUGGUGUCAAGAGAGCAGAAAAGAGCAGCUCUAUAUGAAAAGUUGCAGCUACUUCGUUCUGUCACAAACUCUACAGCUGUAAACAAAACCUCAAUAAUAGUGGAUGCAUCCAGAUACAUAGAGGACUUGAAGCAAAGAGUAGAGAGACUCAACCAAGACAUAGGAACUUCACAUAUUUCAAGUGGACAGAAUCCAUUACCUGUGCAAGUUACAGUGGAGACAGUGGAGCAGGGUUUCCUUAUUAAUGUGUUCUCAGAAAAGAAUUCCCCCGGCUUGCUCGUGUCCAUACUGGAAGCCUUUGAGGAGCUGGGCCUUGAUGUGGUUGAUGCAAGAGUUUCUUGCACAGAGAGUUUCCAUCUAGAAGCCGUUGGGGGAGAGAAUCAAGGGCAUGCUGAUUGCAUGGAUGCUCAAGUGGUGAAACAAGCAGUGCUGCACGCUAUCUGGAACUGCAGUGAAAAUAGUGACCAGCAAGACUGAACAUCCCCACACCACCCCCCCCCCCCCCCCUGGGGGAGCCACCACCACCAAAGAUCUAUACUCAAUGAAGAUGAUUGGACUGGAAACUGAGCAGGAUGGCAUGUAUUACUUUACAAAAAUAAAUCCUGAUCAAUUUCAGGUAGCUAUAUAAAAUUCCCAACUUUGGCAUCGGUGACUUGGCCAUUUAUCCAAUAAAAAUAUGCCUUUACUUUCCAA